GAUCCACCGACUGUCAGAUGUCCUAAAGGAGCCCAAAAACUGCAGACUUCCAGCAAUCUGACUGCAAAUAACAGUCUCCAGGGUGUCUGGAUGGAAGUGCAGAAACACGUGCUGCAAACCACACAGCCUACAGGACACUCUACAGUGGCAUUGAAGUUGCAGAGCAGUGUUUGAAAAAGGAUGCCAUGAGGCAACAAUUCCUAAGGUAUCCAAACCAUCAACUUAAAAACUACUCUGGCCACUCAGGAAAUGCAGAACUGAAAAGGAAGGCCCAGUACACACAACUCAGCAAACACUCAGCUGUGGCAGGACCACAUCACAGCAGGUACCACUACAGGUGUGUCCCUCAGGAAGAUACAUUUCUAUCAUAUUCUACAUUGCUUUAUCCAAAUCUAGAAGUCAGCUGUUAAAAAUAAUCCCUCCUUGGUCCCUUCAUAUUAUAACAUUACUUUAAUCCUAAAAAGCCCAAGUACUGCUACUGCAUGUAGCUACCGACAUGGUACACAGAAGGGAAAGAAAGGAAGAAUGUUCACUAAGAGCCAGGACCAAAAUCUGCUGAUAUCAGAAGGGCUCCUACAGAGUUUGGUGUGCUUGAAUCAGACCCUAAAGCAGUUGUCAACUUCAGCAGGGGCAGAAAAACAGAAUAAUUCAGUCUUGACUUCAAAAUCUCUUCAAGUUGUCUUUAAACAAAAAGCAUUUCAGAAGACAGCACUAGGUGUUUUUUUCACUGGUCACCUUCCUUCUUGUCAGUUGUUCACCGUCAGAAAAUAUCUGCAGUUUUACUUGGUGCUUUCCUGCAAACCUUAAAGCUUUUAGAGCACUGAAGAUGAAUGAACCUGGCAGUAAGAGGAGGAAGGGAGUGAUAAAUAGCAAUUUUGUGCUGAGAACACAGCAGGCAGUAGGACACCAGAUAAAAGGAAGAUUAGUGGAGAACAAGAAUCAAAGGCUUCUUUCCUUUAAAAGUCUAGAUGGAUGCACAGUGCUAUUGGAUCUGUAAAUGCACACUUGUCCUCCUACUUCACAAAUCAACUUCAGUAUGACAAAGCCCAGGCUGGGUGACGCCACCCACUGCCCUCGGAGACGUUCACAAGUGGUUUCAACAAUCAAACAGUGCAACAUCUCUUCAGGAAACACAGAUAGUACAAGUGACAUAAAGAAAAAGUUAUUUCACAA